rnacentral:rRNA from 1 species
UGCCAGCAGCCGCGGUAAGACGUAGGGCGCGAGCGUUGUCCGGAUUUAUUGGGCGUAAAGAGCUCGUAGGCGGCUUGUCGCGUCGACCGUGAAAACUUGGGGCUCAACCCCAAGCCUGCGGUCGAUACGGGCAGGCUAGAGUUCGGUAGGGGAGACUGGAAUUCCUGGUGUAGCGGUGAAAUGCGCAGAUAUCAGGAGGAACACCGGUGGCGAAGGCGGGUCUCUGGGCCGAUACUGACGCUGAGGAGCGAAAGCGUGGGGAGCGAACAGGAUUAGAUACCCUGGUAGUCCACGCUGUAAACGUUGGGCGCUAGGUGUGGGGGGCCUCUCCGGUUCUCUGUGCCGCAGCUAACGCAUUAAGCGCCCCGCCUGGGGAGUACGGCCGCAAGGCUAAAACUUAAAGGAAUUGGCGGGGG